UACGUAGGUGGCAAGCGUUGUCCGGAUUUACUGGGCGUAAAGAGCGCGCAGGCGGUCGUUCAAGUCGCGUGUGAAAGCCCCCGGCUCAACUGGGGAGGGUCACGCGAUACUGAUCGACUCGAAGGCAGGAGAGGGUAGUGGAAUUCCCGGUGUAGUGGUGAAAUGCGUAGAUAUCGGGAGGAACACCAGUGGCGAAGGCGGCUAACUGGUCCAGAUCUGACGCUGAGGUGCGAAAGCGUGGGGAGCAAACAGG
rnacentral:rRNA from 1 species